rnacentral:rRNA from 1 species
GUCUACGGUCUACCCUGAACAAGCCUGACUCAUGUGAUCUCAGAAGCUAAGCAGUGUCAGGCCUGGUUAGUCCUUGGAUGGGAGACUACCUAGGAAGACCAGGUGCUGUAGGCA